rnacentral:lncRNA from 1 species
GAUUUGGGUGAAUUUUCAAAAAAUCCGUAUCCGAACCUAACUCCAAAUUCGAAAUCCGAAUCCGACUGGUUUUAAAAAUUCAUAUUCAAACCCGAGCCCGACCAAAAAUCUGAAAUUCGAACCCAAACCCAAACCCGAAAAUCCAAACCUGAAAUAAUUAUUCCUCUUUUCAAUAUUUCAAAAUAUAUUAUAUUAUAUCUAAAAUUUUAAAAUAUAAAUUCAAAUAUAACAUCAAGUUUUUAUAUACAUAUAAUAUGUAAUUAAAAUAAAUUCAGGUUCAAGUCGGGUUCGGGUUUGGGUUCAGGUUCGAAUUCGGGCUGGGUACAGUCAAAAUUAAUAUCCGAAUUCAUAUCCGUCAGAUUUUUAUUUUUCAUAUCCAUAUUCAAAAUCAUAUCCGUUUAGUACCAGAUAAAUCUACUCCCGAUUCGAAUUCGGAUAAAGUUUUGAACCUCCGUAUCCGUUGAGAUCCCUAGUUUCAGUACCUUUU